rnacentral:rRNA from 1 species
UACGUAGGGUGCAAGCGUUGUCCGGAUUUACUGGGCGUAAAGGGCUCGUAGGCGGCCAACUAAGUCGGACGUGAAAUCCCCAGGCUUAACUUGGGAACUGCGUCCGAUACUGGAUGGCUUGAAUCCGGGAGAGGGAUGCGGAAUUCCUGGUGUAGCGGUGAAAUGCGCAGAUAUCAGGAAGAACACCCGUGGCUAAGGCGGCUCUCUAGUGCGGUACUGACGCUGAGACGCGAAAGCGUGGGGAGCGAACAGG